UUCUGUCAUUUGUUUUCAUUAGUGCUUUUUAUCCUUUGUAUCAUCAAAAUAAGCUAAUAUCUAUGUUUUCAAAAUCUUAUUUUGUCCUUUGUAGACAUAUUCUUUAGGAUUUUGAUUUAUUUUGUCUAGAUUCUUUAAAUGGACACUUAUUCUCUAUACAUUAUUCUUAAAGAGUUGUGUAUUUAAGUGUGUGGAUAAGGACUUUAUGCUAUCACCGGCUUAAUCUUCUGGAACAAGUGAUUAUAAUUUUUAGUUUCUGAGUAUGACUAAGAAAGUAUAGGAUAUGCAUAUACUUUUAUCACAGGAAAAAUAAGCUGGUUUUUGACAAUUUUUGUAUGUACUCAUUAAUUCAUUCUUCAUUUUAUGCUAAAUGCGAAUAAGGAAUGUCUCUCCCAAAAGAGUGCUCUUCAUCGAGACUUCUUCAAUGUUAGGAAAGUUGAUACUCAUGUUCAGCUCUCAACAUGCAUGAACCAGAAGCAUUUUAGCUUGGUUGCACAUCAUGAUUUCCAAGCUUGGUUGUACAGAGCUUGCGAUUUUCACGGUGAAAGAAAUGGAUUUGGAUUUGGCGGCUGAUCUGUUAUCACUUCAAAGACUCCUGAUUAUUGUUGUUUUUGGCUACGCAGUAGAGUUGGCUUUGACGGCGAGAAGGUACACUCCUCUAGGAUGGAUUAAUUAAAGGAAAUGAGUAAUUGGAAAGGGUUUAGAUGGGCAAUUUAUUGUUGAAGAUGGAGGCGAAAAUUCAUGGACGCAAGCGGCAUUGAGUGUUUAACAAGGUGUUUGCAGAUGAUGCCUUCUUUGUGAAAAGAAAAGUCUAAUUUGUUCUCUUUAAAUAUUAAGUCAGAGCAUAUAGACGAUGAUAUGCUAGCUAAAUUGAAUGAUCAAUCAUUUGAGGUGGUACUUUUGCUCUCUAUUCAUUGAUUUUUAGGAAUGCUAAAGUUAGUCUUAUACAAAAUAUACAACAAUAUGAUGAAGCACUUUUUUCAUAUA